GUCUUACAAUAGGAAUGUCCUAUCUUUUUUUAAAUUGAUUAUCAGAUGGAGGAAAAAAUAUCGAGUUCCACUCCAAAUAUUACUUCUCCCAGGGAGCACACGUCAUCACUGAUAAAUAUAAUGAGGAGAAGAAGAUGGAGGUUGGAUGCAGAUGGCCCAAGAUGGUCUUAGUGUGGACCCUGCUGCCUUACACAGUGGCUCUGUGUACUCUGCGAAGUGGAAGGGAGAGAGCAUGCAUUAAAAGAAAAAACAUAUUAACAGCUUGUGGUGCUCUACUUUCACCUCCUGGCGCUUGCUAGCACCCCCCUGUGUGUGUAAAGGAAGAGUGACUGCACCAAGACUUCUGUAGCACCUCCUAGUGGUCACAUACCACAAAGAAUAGAUAGACCAUUGACCCUGAG
ensembl:lncRNA